rnacentral:rRNA from 1 species
GUGCCAGCAGCCGCGGUAAUACAGAGGCCUCGAGCGUUAAUCGGAAUCACUGGGCUUAAAGGGUGCGUAGGCGGAUCUUCAAGUGCCUUGUGAAAUCCCAUGGCUCAACCAUGGAAUUGCUCGGUAGACUGGGGAUCUUGAGGUAGGUAGGGGUCACUGGAACUCUAGGUGGAGCGGUGAAAUGCGUAGAUAUCUAGAGGAACGCCGAUGGUGAAGACAGGUGACUGGGCCUAUUCUGACGCUGAUGCACGAAAGCGUGGGGAGCAAACGGGAUUAGAUACCCCUGUAGUCC